UACGGAGGGUGCAAGCGUUAUCCGGAUUCAUUGGGUUUAAAGGGUGCGUAGGCGGAUUUUUAAGUCAGUGGUGAAAUACUGCAGCUCAACUGUAGAACUGCCAUUGAAACUGGAAAUCUUGAGUAUGAUUGAUGUGGGCGGAAUACGUCAUGUAGCGGUGAAAUGCAUAGAUAUGACGUAGAACACCGAUAGCGAAGGCAGCUCACAAAGCCAUAACUGACGCUGAGGCACGAAAGCGUAGGUAGCAAACAGG
rnacentral:misc_RNA from 1 species